AGUGAACGCUGGCGGUAGGCCUAACACAUGCAAGUCGAACGGCAGCACAGUAAGAGCUUGCUCUUACGGGUGGCGAGUGGCGGACGGGUGAGGAAUACAUCGGAAUCUACUUUUUCGCGGGGGAUAACGUAGGGAAACUUACGCUAAUACCGCAUACGACCUACGGGUGAAAGCAGGGGAUCUUCGGACCUUGCGCGAUUGAAUGAGCCGAUGUCGGAUUAGCUAGUUGGCGGGGUAAAGGCCCACCAAGGCGACGAUCCGUAGCUGGUCUGAGAGGAUGAUCAGCCACACUGGAACUGAGACACGGUCCAGACUCCUACGGGAGGCAGCAGUGGGGAAUAUUGGAUAAUGGGCGCAAGCCUGAUCCAGCCAUACCGCGUGGGUGAAGAAGGCCUUCGGGUUGUAAAGCCCUUUUGUUGGGAAAGAAAAGCAGCAGGUUAAUACCCCGCUGUUCUGACGGUACCCAAAGAAUAAGCACCGGCUAACUUCGUG
rnacentral:rRNA from 1 species